UACGUAGGGGGCAAGCGUUGUCCGGAAUUAUUGGGCGUAAAGAGCGUGUAGGCGGUCCGGUAAGUCAGCUGUGAAAGUCAAGGGCUCAACCCUUGAAUGCCGGUUGACACUGUCGGGCUAGAGUCCGGAAGAGGCGAGUGGAAUUCCCGGUGUAGCGGUGAAAUGCGCAGAUAUCGGGAGGAACACCAAUGGCGAAGGCAGCUCGCUGGGACGGUACUGACGCUGAGACGCGAAAGCGUGGGGAGCAAACAGG
rnacentral:rRNA from 1 species